CCUACGGGAGGCAGCAGUAGGGAAUCUUUCACAAUGGGUGAAAGCCUGAUGGAGCAACGCCGCGUGCAGGAUGAAGGCCUUCGGGUUGUAAACUGCUUUUAUAAGCGAGAAAUAUGAUGGUAACUUAUGAAUAAGGAUCGGCUAACUACGUGCCAGCAGCCGCGGUCAUACGUAGGAUCCGAGCAUUAUCCGGAGUGACUGGGUGUAAAGAGUUGCGUAGGUGGCAUAAUAAGUAGCUAGUGAAAUCUGGUGGCUCAACCAUUCAGACUAUUAGCUAAACUGUUAAGCUCGAGACCGUUAGGGGUAACUGGAAUUUCUAGUGUAGGAGUGAAAUCCGUAGAUAUUAGAAGGAACACCAAUAGCGUAGGCAGGUUGCUGGGACGGUUCUGACACUAAGGCACGAAAGCGUAGGGAGCAAACGGGAUUAGAUACCCGAGUAGUC
rnacentral:rRNA from 1 species